GACGGAGGAUGCAAGCGUUAUCCGGAAUUAUUGGGCGUAAAGCGUCCGCAGGUGGACAUACAAGUCUGCUGUCAAAGUGCAGAGCUUAACUCUGUAAAGGCGGUGGAAACUGUAGGUCUUGAGUAUGGUAGGGGUAGAGGGAAUUCCCGGUGUAGCGGUGAAAUGCGUAGAUAUCGGAAAGAACACCAACGGCGAAGGCACUCUGCUGGGCCGACACUGACACUGAGAGACGAAAGCUAGGGGAGCAAAUGGG
rnacentral:rRNA from 1 species